AUUAUGUGGGGUCUGUCAGCACUACAACUAGCCUUGCCUGCCCCGGCCAGCUGAGGUAUCUGCAUAAACCAGCCAGCCCUUUUCAGCUGAGAUGUCUGCAUGGCCGCUGUCAUUCAGCUGUGUUGUCUCGGACUUGUCAGCGCUACCUGCCCUCUCCCCUGGCCUGCUCAGCUGAGAUGUCAGUAUAACCUCUCCCAGUUGGCUGUGUUAUCAAGGGCUUGUCACCACUUCUAUUUCUAGCCAGUCCUGUUCAUCCGAGAUGUCUGCAUGGCCACUGUCAUUCAGCUUUGUUGUCUCGGACUUGUCAGCGCUACCUGCCCUCUCUGCUGGCCUGCUCAGCUGAGAUGUCAGUAUAAUCUCUCCCAGUUGGCUGUGUUACCGAGGGCUUGUCACCACUUCUAUUUCUAGCCAGCCCUGUUCAGCCGAGAUGUCUGUAUAACCCACUGUCAGUCAGCUGUGUUACCUGGGACCUGUCAGCACUACCAGCCCUUGCCUGCCCUAGCCUGGUCAGCUGAGAUGUCUCCAUAACGCACUGCCAGUCAGCUGUUUCACCUGGGACUUAUCUGCACUACCAGCCCUUGCCUGCCCUGCUCAGCUAAGAUAUCUGCUUUACCGUUACCAACUUGCAUAAACCAGCCAGCCCUGUUCAGCCGAGAUGUCUGCAUGGCCACUGUCAUUCAGCUGUGUUAUCUUGGGCAUGUCAGCGCUACCUGCCCUCUCCGCUGGCCUGCUCAGCUGAGAAGUCAGUAUAAUCUCUCCCAGUUGGCUGUGUUACCGAGGGCUUGUCACCACUUCUAUUUCUAGCCAGCCCUGUUCAGCCCAGAUGUCUGCAUGGCCACUGUCAUUCAGCUGUGUUAUCUUUGGCAUGUCAGCGCUACCUGCCCUCUCCGCUGGCCUGCUCAGCUGAGAAGUCAGUAUAAUCUCUCCCAGUUGGCUGUGUUACCGAGGGCUUGUCACCACUUCUAUUUCUAGCCAGACCUGUUCAGCCGAGAUGUCUGCAUGGCCACUGUCAUUCAGCUGUGUUAUCUUUGGCAUGUCAGCGCUACCUGCCCUCUCCGCUGGCCUGCUCAGCUGAGAAGUCAGUAUAAUCUCUCCCAGUUGGCUGUGUUACCGAGGGCUUGUCACCACUUCUAUUUCUAGCCAGCCCUGUUCAGCCGAGAUGUCUGCAUGGCCGCUGUCAUUCAGCUGUGUUAUCUUGGGCAUGUCAGCGCUACCUGCCCUCUCCGCUGGCCUGCUCAGCUGAGAUGUCAGUAUAACCUCUCCCAGUUGGCUGUGUUGCUGAGGGCUUGUCACCACUACCAUUCGUUACUUGCCCUGUUCAGCUGAGAUGUCUGCGUAAUCAUUGCCAGUUGUCAGCUGUGUUCAUUUUCAGCUCAUCACCACAAUUUUCAGUUACCAGUCAUUAGUUAUGGUGUCUUAUUAUCAUAGCAGAGUGAAACAGGACAUUGAAAAAGAGAAUACUAUCCAAGAUAUGAACAGUAGUGAACAUUUUAGAGACACUUGGCCCCCAUGCUCCUAUAUAAUCUUUCAUAUUUUCUGACAAAUUUUCUGUAACACCGGCUGUCCUGCACUCAGGUGGACACAUCAUUAACAUUUUAAAGUGUUGAUUGCCCCCCCUUCUGGACCCCCUUCUUUAUCAAGAGCAAUAUUUCCUACCGACUUUACUUAAGCCCUUAUUGUUUCUAAUCAUCAUCCUGCUUCACAUCUUCCUGCUGUGUUUUGGGGGGUGACAGCCCAAGAAACUAAAUGCUAAUUUGUUGGCAUUACACAACUUAUGAGGUUUCUAAUGAGUCAUUUGAGGAUAAGUAAUAGCAUAUUUCAAUUUUUGCAUCAGCAUUGGGACGCUAUUCUUACACUGUUAAUAUAUAGGCCAAUUAUAAUCCCAAAAUUUCAGACCAAAUAAAUUACAAAGUGUAAUGCAUGUUUUUCCUUCAAAAAUGUGAUGCGAUCAAGCUGAAAGAGUCAUUUGUUGGGAACUUUUAUUUGGAGAUUCAGCCAAAAUAGGGCCACUUCAUCACAUCACUUCAUCACAUCUCUUAGUGUUCCGACCUCCAU
rnacentral:lncRNA from 1 species